rnacentral:RNase_P_RNA from 1 species
GAAGUCUGCCAGACCGUCGCUGGUGCAUGUCCCGAAAGGGCGCACUGGAGGAACGUCCGGACUGCAAAGAGCAGCGCAGGAGCUAACGGCUCUCCACCGUGAGGUGAGGAUCAGAGCAACAGAGACGAGCCGAUUCAGUUCGGGUGAAACGGGCAAUCUCUGCGCGCAGCAACACCAAGUAGGCACACGUUGAGGCGGCUCGCUGAGUGUGCGGGUAGGUGGCAUUGAGCCGGGUGGGUGACCCCCGGCCCAGAUUGAUGGCGGUCACAUCACGGGCAACCGUGAUGCACAGAAUCCGGCUUAUCGGCGGACUUCACAC